rnacentral:rRNA from 1 species
AGCUCCAAUAGCAUAUAUUAAAGUUGUUGCGGUUAAAAGCUCGUAGUUGGAUUUCUGCUGAGGACGAUCGGUCCGCCCUCUGGGUGAGUAUCUGGCUCGGCCUUUGCAUCUUCUUGAAGAACGUAACUGCACUUGACUGUGUGGUGCGGUAUGCAAGACUUUUACUUUGAGGAAAUUAGAAUGUUUGAAGUAGGCACAUGCCUUGAAUACAUUAGCAUGGAAUAAUGAGAUAGGACCUUGGCUCUAUUUUGUUGGUUUCUAGAAUUGAGGUAAUGAUUAAUAGGGAUAGUUGGGGGCAUUCGUAUUCAAACGACAGAGGUGAAAUUCUUGGACCGUUUGAAGACAAACUACUGCGAAAGCAUUUGCCAAGAAUGUUUUCA